rnacentral:rRNA from 1 species
AUGCUGACGAAAUGGUCUCUAUUGACCCGUCUUGUAACACGGACCAAGGAGUCUAACAUGUGUGCGAGUGCUCGGGGUCAACCCCCCAGCGCGAAAUAAACGUAAAGGUGAACUUGUUCACUUAGGUAGGAUCCUUAGGUGCACUAUCGACCGACCAUGAUCCUCCGGGAGAAAGGUUUGAGUGUGAGCAUACAUGUUGGGACCCGAAAGAUGGUGAACUAUGCUUGAGUAGGGCGAAGCCAGGGGAAACUCUGGUGGAGGUCCGCAGCGAUUCUAACGUGCAAAUUGAUCGUCGAACUUGGGUAUAGGGGCGAAAGACUAAUCGAACUAUCUAGUAGCUGGUUCCCUCCGAAGUUUCCCGCAGGAUAGCUGGAGUUGAACAGUUUUAUCAGGUAAAG